CCAAUAGCGUAUAUUAAAGUUGUUGCAGUUAAAAAGCUCGUAGUUGAACUUCGGGGUUCACCCAUUGGUCGGGCUUAAUUGUCUGUACUGGUGAGAUGAGUCUCUACCUUCUGAGGAACUUUCAUGCCAUUUAUUUGGUGUGAUUGGAAAUCAGGACUGUUACUUUGAAAAAAUUAGAGUGUUUAAAGCAGGCUAACGUCUGAAUACAUUAGCAUGGAAUAAUGAAAUAGGACGGAUUGAUUCUAUUUCGUUGGUUUCUAGGGUCACCGUAAUGAUUAAUAGGGAUAGUUGGGGGCAUUAGUAUUCAAUUGUCAGAGGUGAAAUUCUUGGAUUUAUUGAAGACUAACUACUGCGAAAGCAUUUGCCAAGGAUGUUUUCAUUAAUCAAGAACGAAAGUUAGGGGAUCGAAGACGAUCAGAUACCGUCGUAGUCUUAACCAUAAACUAUGCCGACUAGGGAUCGGACGCAGUUAAUUUUAUAAUGACGUGUUCGGCACCUUACG
rnacentral:rRNA from 1 species